UCUCUGGUAGCUUAGACAGUAAAGAAUCUGCCUACAAUGCAGGAGACCCAGGUUUGAUUCCUGGGUUGGGAA
rnacentral:tRNA from 1 species